UACGGGGGGGGCAAGCGUUGUUCGGAAUUACUGGGCGUAAAGGGUUUGUAGGUGGCUCGCUAAGUCAUACGUGAAAUCCCUCAGCUUAACUGGGGAACUGCGUGUGAGACUGGCAAGCUCGAGUGCAGGAGAGGAAUGCGGAAUUCCAGGUGUAGCGGUGAAAUGCGUAGAUAUCUGGAGGAACACCGGUGGCGAAGGCGGCAUUCUGGACUGCAACUGACACUGAGGCACGAAAGCGUGGGGAGCAAACAGG
rnacentral:rRNA from 1 species